rnacentral:lncRNA from 1 species
CGGCCGCGUUGAGCUGUGCGGCGCGGGCCGGGCGAGCUGCCGCCUGCGCCCGAAGCGAGCGGAGCGCGGCCAUGCCCGGGCCCCUAGCGCGCUGCCGCAGCCCGCGCCCGGCGCCGCCUUCUUCAAUGGGCAACCUGCUCGGCGGGGUCCAGCUUUCGCGGAGCCCACCACCUGGGAGGAUUGGGCUUCCACUUGGCAGACCGACUUGGAGGCCCGAGCCUGAGCAGCCGGGGCCGGCAGGCGGUGGCGAGGGCCAGGAGCAGGACGAGCGGGAGCAGCCCGAGCAGCCUCCCGAGAGAGCCGGAGGGCGACCCCGCGCCAGUCCGGUGCCCGAGGACCACGCGGAGGCGGCGGGCGCGGAGCAGGGUGGUGAUUCCACGGAAGGAAAUGCUAAACCAAAGAGAAGCUUCUAUGCGGCGAGGGAUCUGUACAAGUACCGACAUCAGUACCCACAGAACUUCAAAGAUAUCCGAUACCAAAAUGACUUGAGCAACCUUCGCUUUUAUAAGAAUAAAAUUCCGUUUAAGCCAGAUG